rnacentral:rRNA from 1 species
GAAUUCGCCCUUAGAGUUUGAUCCUGGCUCAGGACGAACGCUGGCGGCACGCUUAACACAUGCAAGUCGAACGAGAGAAGAGAAGCUUGCUUUUCUGAUCUAGUGGCGGACGGGUGAGUAACACGUGAGCAAUCUGCCUUUCAGAGGGGGAUACCGAUUGGAAACGAUCGUUAAUACCGCAUAAUAUAAUUGAACCGCAUGAUUUGGUUAUCAAAGAUUUAUCGCUGAAAGAUGAGCUCGCGUCUGAUUAGCUAGUUGGUAAGGUAACGGCUUACCAAGGCGACGAUCAGUAGCCGGACUGAGAGGGUGAUCGGCCACAUUGGAACUGAGAGACGGUCCAGACUCCUACGGGAGGCAGCAGUGGGGAAUAUUGGGCAAUGGGCGAAAGCCUGACCCAGCAACGCCGCGUGAGGGAAGAAGGGUUUCGGCUCGUAAACCUCUGUCCUAUGGGACGAAGGAAGUGACGGUACCAUAGGAGGAAGCCCCGGCUAACUACGUGCCAGCAGCCGCGGUAAUACGUAGGGGGCGAGCGUUGUCCGGAAUGAUUGGGCGUAAAGGGCGCGUAGGCGGCCUGCUAAGUCUGGAGUGAAAGUCCUGCUUUCAAGGUGGGAAUUGCUUUGGAUACUGGUGGGCUGGAGUGCAGGAGAGGAAAGCGGAAUUACCGGUGUAGCGGUGAAAUGCGUAGAGAUCGGUAGGAACACCAGUGGCGAAGGCGGCCUACUGGGCACCAACUGACGCUGAGGCUCGAAAGUGUGGGUAGCAAACAGGAUUAGAUACCCUGGUAGUCCACACCGUAAACGAUGAUUACUAGGUGUUGGAGGAUUGACCCCUUCAGUGCCGCAGUUAACACAAUAAGUAAUCCACCUGGGGAGUACGACCGCAAGGUUGAAACUCAAAGGAAUUGACGGGGGCCCGCACAAGCAGUGGAGUAUGUGGUUUAAUUCGACGCAACGCGAAGAACCUUACCAAGUCUUGACAUCCUGCGACGGUGCUGGAAACAGUACUUUCCUUCGGGACGCAGAGACAGGUGGUGCAUGGUUGUCGUCAGCUCGUGUCGUGAGAUGUUGGGUUAAGUCCCGCAACGAGCGCAACCCUUAUGGUCAGUUACUACGCAAGAGGACUCUGGCCAGACUGCCGUUGACAAAACGGAGGAAGGUGGGGAUGACGUCAAAUCAUCAUGCCCUUUAUGACUUGGGCUACACACGUACUACAAUGGCGUUAAACAAAGAGAAGCAAGACCGCGAGGUGGAGCAAAACUCAGAAACAACGUCCCAGUUCGGACUGCAGGCUGCAACUCGCCUGCACGAAGUCGGAAUUGCUAGUAAUCGCAGAUCAGCAUGCUGCGGUGAAUACGUUCCCGGGCCUUGCACACACCGCCCGUCA